rnacentral:rRNA from 1 species
GAUGAACGCUGGCGGCGUGCCUAAUACAUGCAAGUCGAGCGAACAGAUAAGGAGCUUGCUCCUUUGGCGUUAGCGGCGGACGGGUGAGUAACACGUGGGUAACCUACCUAUAAGACUGGGAUAACUUCGGGAAACCGGAGCUAAUACCGGAUAAUAUUUCGAACCGCAUGGUUCGAUAGUGAAAGAUGGUUUUGCUAUCACUUAUAGAUGGACCCGCGCCGUAUUAGCUAGUUGGUAAGGUAACGGCUUACCAAGGCGACGAUACGUAGCCGACCUGAGAGGGUGAUCGGCCACACUGGAACUGAGACACGGUCCGGACUCCUACGGGAGGCAGCAGUAGGGAAUCUUCCGCAAUGGGCGAAAGCCUGACGGAGCAACGCCGCGUGAGUGAUGAAGGUCUUCGGAUCGUAAAACUCUGUUAUUAGGGAAGAACAUACGUGUAAGUAACUGUGCACGUCUUGACGGUACCUAAUCAGAAAGCCACGGCUAACUACGUG